UCUGAAGGCUUGAUAGUAAAGUCCCCAGUGGCAUAUGUUGUAAAUCGUUGUCUUUUUUUAUAGGUUUUAGGAUAGAAAAAUGCCACCUACCUGAUGAGAGAGGUUGCAGCUGACAGCUUGAGUGUCCUAACUACAUUAAAUAUAACAAAAAGCUGUUCCCUUUCCUGAAUAAUUUACAUGGCUGCAUGGAAGAGAGGUACUGUGGACCCUUCCUUGCUUAACGAGCAGCAGCGUGAAAUGUCUUUUUCUCCGAAACACGUGCCUAACUGUCCCUUCCACUCUGAUAACUAUAAAUACGUGGGACUGUUGUAUGCACGUGCAGACGUUUCUUAUUCCUAGAGCAGGAUACAGCUCUCUUGUGCCACAUCAGGGCUUUGAGCGAGUAAAUAAGUCUGUUGCUAUUCAUAAAGCCUCUCUAUUCUAUUCAAACACAAAAGAAAAUCCAUGAGCUACUUUUUAGGAGCACAGUGAAACUGUCUGGUAUCUGUAAAAAAAAAAAAAAAAAGUGCUUGCAGCUCUGGACAGUAUCAGAUCUUGGUUCAGCUCCAGGCUCUGCCAUUAGCAGUGGUGACCUCAGGCUGGUUGUUGCAUUUUUGAGCCUCCGUUUUCCUCUCUGUAACACCAAAGUAACUGCUUCCUUUUUGUUUUAUCUGCUCUGAGUUGUUUCAGGCAGCAUGUGUCGCUCCUGGUGUGUACAAAUAACACUUUGUGCUGAGUUCAUUCUUGCUAAGGGUGUUUGCUACAAGGAAAGUCCUGGCUGGUGCUGAUCUUUGCAGGGGCACCAGCCAAACUUUGAAGCGCCGGGGCUGCUUGGGGACAGGCAGCCUUCCCCGCGGUCACCGUCUCUUCCUCUCGCCGCAGCAAAUAACACGCAACACUGCUGCAAGAACUGCUGGGGCGCGCUGGCGGCCGGCCUCUCAUCAGCCAGCGAGGGGCUGACCAGGCGAGCGGCGGAUGUUGGGGUCGAUGAUUCAGAUGGUGACAGGAAACCAGAGACUGGUUUACAAUCCCCAGGAGGAACCAGCUCCAGCAAUUGCGGCUGUGAGCUGAGGAGAUGGGGUGGCCGGGCGAGAGCGACUGAUGCUGCAGAGCGCGCCCCGAGUUUUAAAGGAAGCAAUGGGAGCAGGAUCCUGCCGAUUAUCGAGAAAAGCCGUUUGUGGACUAGCCUGCUGUGGAAAGGAGGGGAAGAGCCAGCGGUUGAGCCAGCUGCAAGCGGGGAAGAAGCGUUGGGAAUUUAGCAGCUAGGGUAAUUAAAAGCAGGGAAAUAGCCAGGGCGCCUCGUUCGCGCCCUCCCCGCGUUGAACGCGCUCGAGCACGGAAGUCGCGCCUCCCUUCUCGCCGCCUCGGCCGGGUGUCAAAGCAGCACCGGCUGGAAGCGCGUAGCGAGGGCGGCGGGGGCUGCGGCGCC
rnacentral:lncRNA from 1 species